rnacentral:rRNA from 1 species
GAUGAACGCUGGCGGCGUGCCUAAUACAUGCAAGUCGAGCGAACAGACGAGGAACUUGCUCCUCUGACGUUAGCGGCGGACGGGUGAGUAACACGUGGAUAACCUACCUAUAAGACUGGGAUAACUUCGGGAAACCGGAGCUAAUACCGGAUAAUAUAUUGAACCGCAUGGUUCAAUAGUGAAAGACGGUUUUGCUGUCACUUAUAGAUGGAUCCGCGCCGCAUUAGCUAGUUGGUAAGGUAACGGCUUACCAAGGCAACGAUGCGUAGCCGACCUGAGAGGGUGAUCGGCCACACUGGAACUGAGACACGGUCCAGACUCCUACGGGAGGCAGCAGUAGGGAAUCUUCCGCAAAGGGCGAAAGCCUGACGGAGCAACGCCGCGUGAGUGAUGAAGGUCUUCGGAUCGUAAAACUCUGUUAUUAGGGAAGAAUAAAUGUGUAAGUAACUAUGCACGUCUUGACGGUACCUAAUCAGAAAGCCACGGCUAACUACGUG